AUCGCUUCUCGGCCUUUUGGCUCAGAUCAAGUGUAGUAUCUGUUCUUAUCAGUUUAAUAUCUGAUACGUCCCCCAUAGGGGGACUACAUAUUAAAUGGAUUUUUCGAACAGGGAGUCGGAAAUGGGGCUUGCUCGUCCGCUCCACGCAUCGACCCGGUAUUGCAGUACCUCCGGGAACGGUGCAACACUU
rnacentral:snRNA from 1 species